rnacentral:rRNA from 1 species
AGAGUUAUCCGUAACCUCCAACCCGUGUGAACUUACCGUCAUCGUUGCCUCGGCGGCGCUCGUGCGAGCGCCGCCGGCGGCCCAGCAACCUCUGUUAUUUUGUGAAUCUGAGCCUAAAAAAACAAAUUGGAAAUUAAAACUUUCAACAACGGAUCUCUUGGCUCUGGCAUCGAUGAAGAACGCAGCGAAAUGCGAUAAGUAAUGUGAAUUGCAGAAUUUAGUGAAUCAUCGAAUCUUUGAACGCACAUUGCGCCCACCAGUAUUCUGGUGGGCAUGCCUGUUCGAGCGUCAUUUCAACCCCUUACGCCCUCGUCGCGUAGUGUUGGGAGGCUGCGGCGGAAGCGCCGCACCUCCUCAAAUCCAGUGGCGGAGUCGGUGGUCGUGCUCUAGGCGUAGUAGUUAACGUUGUUCUCGUCUCGCCUAGCGUCGCCCCGGCGGUCCUGCCGUGAAACCUCCCCCCCCGCGGGGGAAUUUCUCUUAGAAGGUUGACCUCGGAUCAGGUAGGGAUACCCGCUGAACUUAAGCAUAUCAAUAAGCGGAGGAAAAGAAACCAACAGGGAUUACCCUAGUAACGGCGAGUGAAGCGGUAAGAGCUCAAAUUUGAAAUCUGGCCCCCCCCGGGGGGUCCGAGUUGUAAUUUGUAGAGGAUGCUUUUGGCGAGGUGCCUUCCGAGUUCCCUGGAACGGGACGCCUUAGAGGGUGAGAGCCCCGUACGGUUGGAUGCCGAGCCUCUGUAAAGCUCCUUCGACGAGUCGAGUAGUUUGGGAAUGCUGCUCUAAAUGGGAGGUAAAUUUCUUCUAAAGCUAAAUACUGGCCAGAGACCGAUAGCGCACAAGUAGAGUGAUCGAAAGAUGAAAAGUACUUUGAAAAGAGGGUUAAAUAGUACGUGAAAUUGUUGAAAGGGAAGCGUUUGUGACCAGACUUUGCCGCGGCGGAUCAUCCGGUGGUCUCCACCGGUGCGCUCCGCCGCGGCGAGGCCAGCAUCGGCUCCCGCAGGGGGAUAAAAGCCUGGGGAACGUAGCUCCCUCGGGAGUGUUAUAGCCCCUCGCAUAAUGCCCUUGCGGGGACCGAGGACCGCGUA